rnacentral:rRNA from 1 species
AUGGUCCUUGGUCGUGGACAUCGGAGGAAGGCGGUGUCUUCGCUUAUAAUGCUAGUCUCUUGGGAGGUUUGGAAAGAGAGAAAUGCGAGGGUUUUCCAGAAGAAAUCCUUAAUGCCUACCACGAUGCUAGAUGGCAUCAAGGUGGAGGCCAAGAAUUGGGUUUUGGCUGGGGCUAAACACUUGUUGAGGAGUCUUUUGUUUUUUCGCAUUUGUUGA